UACGUAGGGUGCGAGCGUUGUCCGGAAUUAUUGGGCGUAAAGAGCUCGUAGGCGGUGUGUCACGUCGGCCGUGAAAACUUGCAGCUUAACUGUGGGCGUGCGGUCGAUACGGGCAUCACUGGAGUUCGGCAGGGGAGACUGGAAUUCCUGGUGUAGCGGUGAAAUGCGCAGAUAUCAGGAGGAACACCGAUGGCGAAGGCAGUUCUCUGGGCCGUAACUGACGCUGAGGAGCGAAAGCGUGGGGAGCGAACAGG
rnacentral:rRNA from 1 species